UGAAGUUUACUACCAAUUUUUGAUAUCUUUGUGUCAGAUUCACCUGCAGUUCACUUUGUGUAUAAUGGCAAGUUUACUUUUUAUUUUGGGGGAGUUCGUUUGAUGCGUUCUGUUGUUAUUGAUGUGUGGCUGAUAGAAAGAAAAUAGAAGUUCACUUUUUUUCUAUUGACAAGUUCACUUUUAUAUUUAUAGGAAUUUGGGAAGCACCAGACAACUCUCUAUUUGUUGUCCGGCCGGUGGAGUCCAUUUGAAGUUCAGAUGGAGGAUCCCAGCAUCAAAAGGUGAUUUCAUCCGAGAAGUUCACCGUGCCCCCAUCGGGAGUCCACCGUGCUCAGAGCUCGCGCGUCGCCCCUUCGUACGCCCGAGUCCUACCCCAUUGCUGUGGGAAAAAAUAUCAGGAAGCUCAAUUUAAUAACAUCAGGAAGUUCAUUUUUAACCAAACUGGCAUGCUUGGCCUCCCUCAUGACCAUUCAGGAUCUCCGCCGCCACCUGAACUAAGGUGUAUGUUUCUCUACGAACCGCUGCUGACUAGUUUGUGAACUUGCUCAAUGACCUGCACAACUCUGAACUGCCUGAUGCUAAUUCAGAAUUCUCUGUGUCAGAAAGUUCGCCUUGUGCAUUCUUGAAGUUCAAAUAUAAUCGAACCAUCUUCACUUUUGUUGGACAGUUUACUUGGGACAUAAUGGGAAGCUCAAUUUUCACAUCGUGAAAGUUCAUUUCAUUUUUCUAUGAAACAAAAUAAAUGGUAAUGGUGAGUUCACUUUUGUAAAAGUGAAGUUCACUCCGCAAAUAAAAUGAAGUUCAUUUGAACAAAAAUGCAUAUUGCUGCAAUCUUGUUUUGAUGUAUAAAAGCAUUAUCUAGUAUUUCGUUUGAUCUUAACCAUCUACCACUGUCUACUAUUAUCCUUAUGCUGCCUUUUUUGUUAU